rnacentral:rRNA from 1 species
UACGUAGGAUGCAAGCGUUGUCCGGAUUUACUGGGUGUAAAGGGUGCGCAGGCGGCUUGGUAAGUCAGAGGUGAAAGCCCGCAGCUCAACUGCGGAAAUGCCUUUGAUACUGCCUAGCUUGAAUAUGAUAGAGGCUCAUGGAAUAUGUGGUGUAGCGGUGAAAUGCGUAGAUAUCACAUAGAACACCAGUGGCGAAGGCGGUGAGCUGGGUCAUUAUUGACGCUCAUGCACGAAAGUGUGGGUAGCAAACAGGAUUAGAUACCCUGGUAGUCCACACCUUAAACGAUGUAUGCUUGAUGUUGGGGAUGUAUGUUCUCAGUGUCGUAGGAAAUCCGAUAAGCAUACCACCUGGGAAGUACGAUCGCAAGGUUG